rnacentral:misc_RNA from 1 species
GUGAAUCAUCGAAUUUUUGAACGCAAAUUGCGCCUUUUUCGGAAGGCAUGUGCGUUUGAGGGCAACAUUUAACAAAUAAUGUGCAGAGUUGUUUGUUGCACAGGUGGAUGAGCUUUCUAAGAAUUUUAAAUUUUUGGUGGCGCAUAAUGAAAAGCGUGAAGCUUUUUUUGCAGGUCGAGUGUAGUAAAGUCUUUGUAUGGGUUGUGAAAAGCGAAAGAGCGCAAUGGGUGUGGCAAUUUUUUAUUAUACCUGACCCAAUG